AUUGAACGCUAGCGGCAUGCCUUACACAUGCAAGUCGAACGGCAGCGCGGGAGCAAUCCUGGCGGCGAGUGGCGAACGGGUGAGUAAUGCAUCGGAACGUGCCCAUCGAGUGGGGGAUAACUGCGCGAAAGCGUUGCUAAUACCGCAUACGACCUACGGGUGAAAGCAGGGGGACCGCAAGGCCUUGCGUCGAUGGAGCGGCCGAUGCCGGAUUAGCUAGUUGGUGAGGUAAAGGCUCACCAAGGCGACGAUCCGUAGCUGGUCUGAGAGGAUGAUCAGCCACAGUUGGGACUGAGACACCGGACCCAAACUCCGUACGGGAGGCAGCAGGUGGGGAAUCGUUGGACAAGUGGGACGAAAGCCUGAUCCAGCAAUGCCGCGUGUGGGAAGAAGGCCUUCGGGUUGUAAACCACUUUUGGCGGGAAAGAAAUGGUCUGUGCUAAUACCACGGAUUGAUGACGGUACCCGCAGAAUAAGCACCGGCUAACUUCGUG
rnacentral:rRNA from 1 species